AACGAACGCUGGCGGCAUGCCUAACACAUGCAAGUCGAACGAGACCUUCGGGUCUAGUGGCGCACGGGUGCGUAACGCGUGGGAACCUGCCCUUAGGUUCGGAAUAACUCCCCGAAAGGGGUGCUAAUACCGGAUAAUGUCUUCGGACCAAAGAUUUAUCGCCUUUGGAUGGGCCCGCGUUGGAUUAGCUAGUUGGUAGGGUAAAAGCCUACCAAGGCGACGAUCCAUAGCUGGUCUGAGAGGAUGAGCAGCGACACUGGGACUGAGACACGGCCCAGACUCCUACGGGAGGCAGCAGUGGGGAAUAUAGGACAAUGGGCGAAAGCCUGAUCCAGCAAUGCCGCGUGAGUGAUGAAGGCCGUAGGGUUGUAAAGCUCUUUUACCCGGGAUGAUAAUGACAGUACCGGGAGAAUAAGCGCCGGCUAACUCCGUG
rnacentral:rRNA from 1 species